rnacentral:rRNA from 1 species
AGUGAACGCUGGCGGUAGGCCUAACACAUGCAAGUCGAACGGCAGCACAGUAAGAGCUUGCUCUUACGGGUGGCGAGUGGCGGACGGGUGAGGAAUACAUCGGAAUCUACUUUUUCGUGGGGGAUAACGUAGGUAAACUUACGCUAAUACCGCAUACGACCUACGGGUGAAAGCAGGGGAUCUUCGGACCUUGCGCGAUUGAAUGAGCCGAUGUCGGAUUAGCUAGUUGGCGGGGUAAAGGCCCACCAAGGCGACGAUCCGUAGCUGGUCUGAGAGGAUGAUCAGCCACACUGGAACUGAGACACGGUCCAGACUCCUAAGGGAGGCAGCAGUGGGGAAUAUUGGACAAUGGGCGCAAGCAUGAUCCAGCCAUACCGCGUGGGUGAAGAAGGCCUUCGGGUUGUAAAGCCCUUUUGUUGGGAAAGAAAAGCAGCAGGUUAAUACCCCGCUGUUCUGACGGUACCCAAAGAAUAAGCACCGGCUAACUUCGUG